CGACUCUCGACAACGGAUAUCUCGGCUCUCGCAUCGAUGAAGAACGUAGCUAAAUGCGAUACUUGGUGUGAAUUGCAGAAUCCCGUGAACCAUCGAGUCUUUGAACGCAAGUUGCGCCCGAAGCCAUUAGGCCGAGGGCACGUCUGCCUGGGCGUCACGCAUCGCGUCGCCCCC
rnacentral:rRNA from 3 species